GACGAACGCUGGCGGCGUGCUUAACACAUGCAAGUCGAACGGAAAGGCCCUGCUUUUGUGGGGUGCUCGAGUGGCGAACGGGUGAGUAACACGUGAGUAACCUGCCCUUGACUUUGGGAUAACUUCAGGAAACUGGGGCUAAUACCGGAUAGGAGCUCCUGCUGCAUGGUGGGGGUUGGAAAGUUUCCGCGGUUGGGGAUGGACUCGCGGCUUAUCAGCUUGUUGGUGGGGUAGUGGCUUACCAAGGCUUUGACGGGUAGCCGGCCUGAGAGGGUGACCGGCCACAUUGGGCCUGAGAUACGGCCCAGACUCCUACGGGAGGCAGCAGUGGGGAAUAUUGCACAAUGGGCGGAAGCCUGAUGCAGCAACGCCGCGUGCGGGAUGACGGCCUUCGGGUUGUAAACCGCUUUCGCCUGUGACGAAGCGUGAGUGACGGUAAUGGGUAAAGAAGCACCGGCUAACUACGUG
rnacentral:rRNA from 1 species